UUUGCUUGGGAAACACCGCUAACGGCACCAGGUGAAGUGUCACCGGCUGCUGCCAGGUUUUUCGGAGCAAAGCCCCCUGCCCACCUGCGAGCCUGCCCACCCCGCAGGAGCCCGGACACCGCCGGGGUUCGCGUCCUGCCCAGCUCCGACCUGGCGGUGACAAAGGCGAGCCGAGCCCUGUGCCGCAGCAGGACGGGGACACCGCAGGCAGGACGGGGACACCGCAGGGUUUCCACAUCCUAUUGAGGAGGCAGGCAAGUUGCACCUCUCCAAGACUUCGUGGAACGCGUGGCAGUAAACAUAUUACCAAAUUAAAGAAAUGGCCUUAUCAAAAAGUUAAUCACUUCCAGCAGUAUGCUGUGAAGUGAGUGGGAUACCUGCCAGUCUCGAGUCUUUCUUAGAGCCCAUGCCAACUGGCCCAGCUAUAAAAUUUUGCUUGAAAUCUGGCUGGCAGGGUUGGCCAGCUGGACGUUCCCUACGGCCCAGGGUCGGGGCAAGGAUCUCCCUUGCCUGUUCAAGCAUAGAUAGUAUCAUAUGGCAGUUUGAACAGCCAGUCAGUGGUAAAAAAUCAAGAAGAUGGCAUCAUGUGGAGAAUAUGGGCUGGAACGCCUGCCUCCGCCGAUUAUUAAUGCUACAUCGCCAGAGCCAUGUCUCCUUUUCUCUGUCUGCACUGCACGGGUCCAUUUGCAGAAGAGCCACUGCCUCGGAUUUGAGGUUUUUGUCUUGCUUGGGUGGCUCUAGACCUUUGUUUCUCUUCUACCAGUAGUCUAUUUUUGUAAUUUAUUGAAUUACCUCAGUGCUGUAAAGUAAUAUCAGACAUUACACCUUCCUUGUGGCGUGGCACCAACGCUAAAACGUCCUGGCACGUCCUCUUCACAUUUGUAAUAUGUAGGUCUAGGUUCAGCUGGUUUGAGCUGAAAAGUGACCAAGAGCUUAAUUUAUCCAAGUCAGCUUUGAAACAAUUGUGGUUUUAGGUAUUUUUUUACAUCCGGUAGGGAAUGGACUGAGAGCAGCCAUCAAGAGGGAAUGAAUCUGUUCUCCUGGGUUACUGUGU